GGCUGGAUAGCUCAGUUGGCUAGAGCAUUCGGUUCAUACCCGAAAGGUCCAGAGUUCAAGUCUCUGUCCAGCCACCA
rnacentral:tRNA from 1 species